UACGAAGGUGGCAAGCGUUACUCGGAAUUACUAGGCGUAAAGGGCAGGUAGGCGGUCUCGUUAGUCUGUUGUGAAAGCUCCUUGCUUAACGGGGAGAGGCCAACAGAUACUGCGAGGCUUGAGUAUAGGGGAGGGUACUGGAAUUCCCGGUGUAGCGGUGAAAUGCGCAGAGAUCGGGAGGAACACCAAUGGCGAAAGCAGGUACCUGGACUAUUACUGACGCUCAGCUGCGAAAGCUAGGGGAGCAAACAGG
rnacentral:rRNA from 1 species